GCCAGUGUGGCAUAAUGGUCUGAGUGUUCGAUUAUGACUCUGUAGACCAGGGUUCGAUUCCCUACUUGGCCA